rnacentral:tRNA from 1 species
AAGCUUAAUGCUUAAUGGCACAUCCCACA